rnacentral:rRNA from 1 species
ACUCCUACGGGAGGCAGCAGUGGGGAAUAUUGCACAAUGGGCGAAAGCCUGAUGCAGCGACGCCGCGUGAGGGAUGACGGCCUUCGGGUUGUAAACCUCUUUCAGUAGGGAAGAAGCGAAAGUGACGGUACCUGCAGAAGAAGCGCCGGCUAACUACGUGCCAGCAGCCGCGGUAAUACGUAGGGCGCAAGCGUUAUCCGGAAUUAUUGGGCGUAAAGAGCUCGUAGGCGGUUUGUCGCGUCUGCCGUGAAAGUCCGGGGCUCAACUCCGGAUCUGCGGUGGGUACGGGCAGACUAGAGUGAUGUAGGGGAGACUGGAAUUCCUGGUGUAGCGGUGAAAUGCGCAGAUAUCAGGAGGAACACCGAUGGCGAAGGCAGGUCUCUGGGCAUUAACUGACGCUGAGGAGCGAAAGCAUGGGGAGCGAACAGGAUUAGAUGCCCUGGUAG